GCCUUCACUACCCAAUUGAAAAUAAUUAAAUAAAUCAUUCUUGAGAAAAAUUAGCAGCUAUAUACUUACUGGUAUAUUGUUGCAAUCUGCUCGAUAGCCAGUGGACGGUUUGGUGAUAAGCUCAGUCUUGAUAUUAACAUGGCUAUCUGUUGUGUAGCACAUAGUCCACCCACCACCAAAGGAAGACAUGUCACAAUGAACCUUAAUUGCUUUACCGCUGCCAUCUGUGUCUAUCAAAUAUUCUCCGUCUCCGCUGCUCAGGCCUUUCUUUAAGAUGUCACGACAAUUUUUGCCUGCAUGGGUAGGAAAAAUAACUAUCUAAAACGUCAAUGGUGCAUGCAUGAACAGCAUAGACA